GAUAAUUAUUUGUUGGUGUCUGGGAGAUCCUGCGGAGUUCAGCACAACAUCUCGCCUCGGAGAGGGAAAAUGGGUGUGGAGUUCGUCUAUGAAAUCUGACAGAUUGGUGAUCUACUAUGGCAACGUGGUUAAACAAGUGUAAGGCAAGUCUUUCCUACAGAAAACUGCGUUAAGAUACUGUCGCAGGCGAGAAACAGCCGAUCCCUCCUAUUAUACGUUAUCGCCUGGGUCAUGCGUCGGAGAUCAGAAUUUGGUUCCCAAAGUCGCCUUGAUGCCUUCUGGUGAUAUCAAGAGUCAACCGGAUAACUCCGAGAUCUGCGGGGGUUUUUUUUUUUUCAGCAGAUCCGCCGCAUCGAUUCCGUGAAUCUCCCUUCCCACACAUUGGUUGAUUUUGCGAACAAAAUGAAGAUAACAUUACGGUGUGAACAAAAGUCUCUUGCACACGCUAGGAAUUUAACUGGAAAUCUCAGUAUUAAGGCGCAAUAAUACAUCCAGUCUUCACACAUAGGUUAUGGGCCAAGCUUUAGGCAUCAAGCCCCUGAAUCCAGCACAACUGUUUGGGGGGCUUGCCAACUGAUCUGUACCGUGCUUACCAAAUAAAUUUUUAGCGCAUGCAAGGAAGGUCUUUUAGCGUCUGGUUUGACAUUUGGUGAAGGAGAAGAAUCUCGCUCAUCCUAACAUGAUCGUCACGAUCUACAAAUAGAGUGAUGUGCUCGGCGCGCAUCAUGCCGUGCUGCACAUCCUGCUGAAGAUUUGUCGCAAAGGCCACCACCUCUUUCGCUACGAACCACUCACCCUCGGAAACGCAGAGCACCUUUUUAUAUAGCCUUGUACUUUUGGCCCAAGGGUGUAAUUCGAGAGUGGUUCAAUUAAGAGAAAGGAUUCACCCGUACGUACCCCCUCCGUGCAAUACUUACUUCUACGUACAGCUGUUUACAGGCAAAAAUGGACAUUCCUAUGAACCAACACGUGAAUGACCAUACGGACGUAAAGGGAAAGAUAUAUUAAAAAAAAUAACCGGCAAUUUCUUAAUUUCCUGGCUCUAUUUCAUUGGACAGACUCGGUUCAGAGCAUACUCUGUUUUCCGCUCUCCAAGGGUUUGUUUGGCAACUGGGCCAACCAAUAUUAUAACUUGGGCUUGAUAGAUCUCUGGUUUCCAAAAAGGAGCUACACGAUGGGUUGCAUAAGAUGUGAGAACGGGCUAGAUUGUUGAAGUCUCGACUGGUGGUAUAUGGACAUAAUCAUCACCUUCUGUUCAAGGAUGAUGGUAUGCGAGCAAAUUGGCGCGAGGUUGUGUAUGGCUCGUCUCGACCCUGGCAGAUCAUAGUUUUCUUUUAUCAGCAUCUCUCCUCUGAGUUUCUCUGAUGUCCAGUAACUUACACUAGCUCUUCAAGCUAGCAGCGGAUGGCUAGAGAGGAGAUCUACGUGCCAUACAUUGCAUGCAUUGUGCAUAUGAGCCCAC
rnacentral:sRNA from 1 species